rnacentral:rRNA from 1 species
CGGUGAAUACGUUCCCGGAUCUUGCACACACCGCCCGUCAAGCCAUGGAAGCCGGGUGUACCUAAAGUCGGUAACCGUAAGGAGCCGCCUAGGGUAAAACUGGUGACUGGGGCU